AGAUACCACAUCAGGAAAGAUGACCAGGAACUUCCCAGUCUUUACAACCUAAACCAUCCCCGCCUCUCAAACACUCAAGAAAUGUUUGUGCCUACGAUAAGAAAUGAACUCUCUGAAAGAAGAAAUCCUAAAACCCAGCUGGGAUCCAGAAAACAGACUCUCAGGCCCACAGACUUCCACCUGGGGCUGGAGUUCCGGCUUUAGGCGCCAUCCGGGACUCUGAGCUCCCUCCUGGGGCAGAAUCAGGACUUGAGGACCUUCUCUACAAUGACCCACAUGUUCCAUCUGCCUGGACACAGCUCCUCCAAACAACAAAUCAACUAAUCUGCGGCCUGACCUUGGCUGAUCCCUCCUGCCCGGGAAUCCCUCUCCUGUAGGAGUCUCCAGUCGAUUCAGCCAGGUUAUAGCACCCCCCCUGUGAGCUCGACGCCUGUUCACAGGGCCUGGGUGUUUGUGCCAUCUGCAUCUUGCCUUAACGGGGAACCGUUCUCGUUGUAGGCUUGAGGUGCCAUGGUUUUUGCGGGUGUUUUCAUGGCCUUGACCAUGGGAGCCAAGCCAUCCAGACCUAUCACUCCGGCUUCAUGCUUUAAUGCCUUACAGUUAUCCGUCUCUGUCCAAAUAAAUGGCCCCAUUAAAACUAUACACGGCCGUUUUUCGGUUCCAGCCUUUUGCCCCUCCCCUCUGCGACUUUUGUUGUAGCAUGACGGGCUCUCUAACAGAGCAGACUACAUGUGGUGGUUGAAGAGAAGAUCCUCGAGGUUGAAGAGAAGAUCCUCGGGUCCUGAUUCUGCCCCCGGAGGGAACUCAGAGUCCUGGCAGAACUCUGGCCCCAGGUGCGGGACGGCCCCCAACCAAGACCAGCCGCCAAGAUGGCAGGGGAGCGAGAAAGGAAGGACUGGAACUAGCUC